GAUGAACGCUAGCGGGAGGCCUAACACAUGCAAGCCGAGCGGUAUUGUUUCUUCGGAAAUGAGAGAGCGGCGUACGGGUGCGGAACACGUGUGCAACCUGCCUUUAUCUGGGGGAUAGCCUUUCGAAAGGAAGAUUAAUACUCCAUAAUAUAUUGAACGGCAUCGUUUAAUAUUGAAAGCUCCGGCGGAUAGAGAUGGGCACGCGCAAGAUUAGCUAGUUGGUGAGUUAACGGCUCGACAAGGCAAUGAUCUUUAGGGGGCCUGAGAGGGUGGUCCCCCACACUGGUACUGAGACACGGACCAGACUCCUACGGGAGGCAGCAGUGAGGAAUAUUGGUCAAUGGGUGCAAGCCUGAACCAGCCAUCCCGCGUGAAGGACGACUGCCCUAUGGGUUGUAAACUUCUUUUGUAUAGGGAUAAACCUUUCCACGUGUGGAAAGCUGAAGGUACUAUACGAAUAAGCACCGGCUAACUCCGUGCCAGCAGCCGCAGUAACAC
rnacentral:rRNA from 1 species